GCUCCCGUUGUCUAAUGGUAUGAUAACUGCCUUCCAAGCAGUUGGCCCGGGUUCGAUUCCCGGCGAGAGCA
rfam:Dictyostelium purpureum unplaced genomic scaffold DICPTscaffold_227, whole genome shotgun sequence.